rnacentral:misc_RNA from 1 species
UUUUUUUUUUUUCAGACAACUUUUAACGAUUUUAUAAACGCUUUCUUACUGCAUAGUUAUCUUGAAUUCAGCUCUAAUGAUGCCAUGUGGGAAUGAUUUUACUUGAGUCUUCGGUUUAAGUUGCUUCCAUUUGUUACUGUGAUCCUGAGUAUUUUUAAUCUUUGUGAACAUCUACCUUUAUGUUUUUUUGCAAUUUUGUUUUAUACUUUUAACUUUGACAAGUUUGUCUUGAUUUUAAAACUUAGUUGUAAUUGUUUCCAAACGGCUGUGAAGCAUGGAAAUGCCAGUUGCUGGCGUUUUCCCAUGUCGGAAACUUUUCCAGGACGAAAAUGGCAGGACACGGCCUUGACCCAUUUUAAGCCUGUGUCUGAAAAUUUUGAAAGAUGGAGACGUGUGUCUGACGAGGAAAUGCAUUUCUUAAAAAAAAAUGAUUAGGUUAAAAAAUUGCAGCAGAAGAAUGGGACCAAAACGCUGCAGAGUUGUUAGAGAUGUGUUAUGCACAAACAGAGGCACAUUGUUAGAGGUUAAAAUUAGAAUAAAAAGGUUCAAAUUCUAUUUUUUUUUUAAUUUAAUUUUGAUCAAUUUUGACUGUUUGGACACAAUUGCAAGUAUAUAUUAAAAUCAGGACAUAUUGCAAAAAUACUUUUAAAAUUUUGAAUCUUUUGCUACUAGGCCUUUUCUCUUAUCCUUUAUCUAAUUCUUUCCAUAUGCAGGAACGACCGAAAUGGUUAGAAG